rnacentral:rRNA from 1 species
AUUGAACGCUGGCGGCAGGCCUAACACAUGCCAGUCGAGCGGAUGAAGGGAGCUUGCUCCUGGAUUCAGCGGUGGACGGGUGAGUAAUGCCUAGGAAUCUGCCUGGUAGUGGGGGAUAACGUCCGGAAACGGGCGCUAAUACCGCAUACGUCCUGAGGGAGAAAGUGGGGGAUCUUCGGACCUCACGCUAUCAGAUGAGCCUAGGCCGGAUUAGCUAGUUGGUGGGGUAAAGGCCUACCAAGGCGACGAUCCGUAACUGGUCUGAGAGGAUGAUCAGUCACACUGGAACUGAGACACGGUCCAGACUCCUACGGGAGGCAGCAGUGGGGAAUAUUGGACAAUGGGCGAAAGCCUGAUCCAGCCAUGCCGCGUGUGUGAAGAAGGUCUUCGGAUUGUAAAGCACUUUAAGUUGGGAGGAAGGGCAGUAAGUUAAUACCUUGCUGUUUUGACGUUACCAACAGAAUAAGCACCGGCUAACUUCGUG